rnacentral:rRNA from 1 species
CGGGGUGCACCAGGCGCGAAAACUUUACAAUGCUGGCAACAGCGAUAAGGGGACCUCGAGUGCCAGGAUACAAUCUUGGCUGUCGCGAUGCCUAAAAAGCAUUGCAUAGCAAGGGCCGGGCAAGACCGGUGCCAGCCGCCGCGGUAACACCGGCGGCUCGAGUGGUAACCGCUAUUAUUGGGUCUAAAGGGUCUGUAGCCGGCCGGAUAAGUCUUUUGGGAAAUCCAGCUGCUCAACAGUUGGGCUUUCAGAAGAUACUGUUCGGCUCGAGACCGGGAGAGGUGAGAGGUACUUCAGGGGUAGGGGUGAAAUCUUGUAAUCCUUGAAGGACCACCAGUGGCGAAGGCGUCUCACCAGAACGGAUCUGACGGCAAGGGACGAAAGCUAGGGGCACGAACCGGAUUAGAUACCCGGGUAGUCCUAGCCGUAAACGAUACUCGCUAGGUGUCAGCCACGGUGCGACCGUGGUUGGUGCCGUAGGGAAGCCGUGAAGCGAGCCACCUGGGAAGUACGGCCGCAAGGCUGAAACUUAAAGGAAUUGGCGGGGGAGCACAAGGGCGAA